AGUGAGGAAUAUUGGGCAAUGGAGGCAACUCUGACCCAGCCAUACCGCGUGAAGGACGACGGCCCUAUGGGUUGUAAACUUCUUUUAUAUGGGAGGAAUAAGGUCUACGUGUAGACUGAUGACAGUACCAUAUGAAUAAGCACCGGCUAACUCCGUGCCAGCAGCCGCGGUAAUACGGAGGGUGCAAGCGUUAUCCGGAUUUAUUGGGUUUAAAGGGUCCGUAGGCGGACUGGUAAGUCAGUGGUGAAAUCCUAUCGCUUAACGAUAGAACUGCCAUUGAAACUGCUAGUCUUGAAUUAUUUUGAAGUUGGCGGAAUGAGUAGUGUAGCGGUGAAAUGCAUAGAUAUUACUCAGAACACCGAUUGCGAAGGCAGCUGACUAAGAAUAUAUUGACGCUGAUGGACGAAAGCGUAGGUAGCGAACAGGAUUAGAUACCCUGGUAGUCUACGCAGUAAACGAUGGAUACUCGUUGUCGGGAAAAUUGAGACUCGGUGGCUAAGCGAAAGUGAUAAGUAUCCCACCUGGGGAGUACGAUCGCAAGAUUGAAACUCAAAGGAAUUGACGGGGGCCCGCACAAGCGGUGGAGCAUGUGGUUUAAUUCGAUGAUACGCGAGGAACCUUACCUGGGCUUAAAUGUAUUUUGACAGGACUGGAAACAGUUUUUCCCGCAAGGGCAAUUUACAAGGUGCUGCAUGGUUGUCGUCAGCUCGUGCCGUGAGGUGUCAGGUUAAGUCCUAUAACGAGCGCAACCCCUAUCGAUAGUUGCUAGCAGGUAAUGCUGAGGACUCUAUUGAGACUGCCGGUGCAAACCGUGAGGAAGGUGGGGAUGACGUCAAAUCAUCACGGCCCUUACGUCCAGGGCCACACACGUGCUACAAUGGUGCAUACAGAGAGCAGCCAUCUGGUGACAGAGAGCGAAUCUUCAAAGUGCAUCACAGUUCGGAUCGUAGUCUGCAACUCGACUACGUGAAGCUGGAAUCGCUAGUAAUCGCAGAUCAGCCAUGCUGCGGUGAAUACGU
rnacentral:rRNA from 1 species